GAGUUUGAUCCUGGCUCAGGACGAACGCUGGCGGCGUGCCUAACACAUGCAAGUCGAGCGAAGCGCUUGAAUCUGAUUCUUCGGAUGAGGAUUCUUGUGACUGAGCGGCGGACGGGUGAGUAACGCGUGGGCAACCUGCCUUACACAGGGGGAUAACAGUUAGAAAUGACUGCUAAUACCGCAUAAGACCGCAGUACCGCAUGGUACAGCGGUAAAAACUCCGGUGGUGUAAGAUGGGCCCGCGUCUGAUUAGGUAGUUGGCGGGGUAACGGCCCACCAAGCCGACGAUCAGUAGCCGACCUGAGAGGGUGACCGGCCACAUUGGGACUGAGACACGGCCCAGACUCCUACGGGAGGCAGCAGUGGGGAAUAUUGCACAAUGGGGGAAACCCUGAUGCAGCGACGCCGCGUGAGCGAUGAAGUAUUUCGGUAUGUAAAGCUCUAUCAGCAGGGAAGAAAAUGACGGUACCUGACUAAGAAGCCCCGGCUAACUACGUGCCAGCAGCCGCGGUAAUACGUAGGGGGCAAGCGUUAUCCGGAUUUACUGGGUGUAAGGGAGCGUAGACGGCUGUGCAAGCCAGAUGUGAAAGCCCGGGGCUCAACCCCGGGACUGCAUUUGGAACUGUGUAGCUGGAGUGUC
rnacentral:rRNA from 1 species